GACAUGGGCUAAUAGCCAAUUCAUUCUGGGGAGGCAGUGGAGCUGAAAGAGAAACAAGGCUGAAAAGGUCGAUUAGCUUUCUCUUUGGUGGGGGAGGAGAAGGUAGCAGGAGGAUCUGUGCUUUGCCUUCAGUCCAUGUGGGUCUCUGGAGAGAAAUGGGAGCAAAGGAGCUGUUCUGUGGAUGACGACACAGCUGGCUGGGACUAAUAUGAAAGGGGUCAGCAAUUUGUACAGCCUUUUACUCUUUCAUAUAUAUCUUCAGAGAUUUUGAGUGGUCAGAAAAAAAAGGCAAUGAAAAUAUGUGUUGGGAAACCAGCUAUUUUUCACCUGAUUUCACAGGGAGGUUUGGCUGGAAAAAGGCAAUGAUGGCCUGUUUUAAGCCCAUGUUUUUGUACUGGAGAUGUAGAGAAUCAUCAGGAAGGCCUUGAGAUUCAAUUUGAAGAUUCCACAUCAAGGAGAAAUGGCCAUAUUCCUAUGUUUAGGUCCUGCCGGCCAGUUUCAUCGGGGAGCUUAUUAUUCCACUGGAGGAGCAGCAGAGGCUGGCGGAGGAGGGGGAUGGAUGCUGCAGACCUUCCCCCGCCCAGGUGCAGGACUGAAAGUUUUGGGUUGUGAGCUGACUGCUC
rnacentral:lncRNA from 1 species